rnacentral:rRNA from 1 species
CACGUAGCUAGCCGGUGCUUCUUUACCCAUUACCGUCACUCACGCUUCGUCACAGGCGAAAGCGGUUUACAACCCGAAGGCCGUCAUCCCGCACGCGGCGUUGCUGCAUCAGGCUUCCGCCCAUUGUGCAAUAUUCCCCACUGCUGCCUCCCGUAGGAGUCUGGGCCGUAUCUCAGUCCCAAUGUGGCCGGUCACCCUCUCAGGCCGGCUACCCGUCAAAGCCUUGGUAAGCCACUACCCCACCAACAAGCUGAUAAGCCGCGAGUCCAUCCCCAACCGCCGAAACUUUCCAACCCCCACCAUGCAGCAGGAGCUCCUAUCCGGUAUUAGCCCCAGUUUCCUGAAGUUAUCCCAAAGUCAAGGGCAGGUUACUCACGUGUUACUCACCCGUUCGCCACUCGAGCACCCCACAAAAGCAGGGCCUUUCCGUUCGACUUGCAUGUGUUAAGCACGCCGCCAGCGUUCGUCCUGAGCCAGGAUCAAACUCU